rnacentral:rRNA from 1 species
AGGGCACCACCAGGAGUGGAGCCUGCGGCUUAAUUUGACUCAACACGGGGAAACGCACCCGGCCCGGACACCGGAAGGAUUGACAGAUUGAUAGCUCUUUCUUGAUUCGGUGGAUGGUGGUGCAUGGCCGUUCUUAGUUGGUGGAGCGAUCUGUCUGGUUAAUUCCGAUAACGAACGAGACUCUAGCCUAUUAAAUAGACGUCGGGUUCUCUGCACUCGACGGUCUUCUUAGAGGGACAAGGUGCUUUUAGCACCGCGAAACAGAGCAAUAACAGGUCUGUGAUGCCCUUAGAUGUCCGGGGCCGCACGCGCGCUACACUGAAGUGAUCAGCGUGCAUUUGUUCUCGCUCCGUGAGGAGCGAGUAACCCAAGGAACCUUCUUCGUGCUUGGGAUUGGGGAUUGUAAUUAUUGCCCAUGAACGAGGAAUUCCCAGUAAGCGCGAGUCAUUAGCUUGCGUUGAUACGUCCCUGCCCUUUGUACACACCGCCCGUCGCUACUACCGAUUGAAUGAUAGAGUG